UAAAUUAUAGCUAAAAAUAAGUGUUUUAUUUACAUUAAAAAGAUAGUUAAUAACUUAAUUUAU
rnacentral:tRNA from 1 species